rnacentral:tRNA from 6 species
GGUCCUAUGGGGUAGUGGUUAUCCCACCGGAUUUUGAUGAACAAUAUACAUGUCCUGUAUAUGUGUAGGAAGAUCGAAGCUUCCGGUAACGCCGGUUCGAAUCCGGCUAGGACCU